UCUAAGUAUAAGCAAUUAUACAGCGAAACUGCGAAUGGCUCAUUAUAUAAGUUAUCGUUUAUUUGAUAAUACCUUACUACUUGGAUAACCGUGGUAAUUCUAGAGCUAAUACAUGCUAAAAAUCCCGACUUCGGAAGGGUUGUAUUUAUUAGAUUAAAAACCAAUGCCCCCCGGGGCUCCUUGGUGAAUCAUGAUAACUAGUCGAAUCGACAGGCCUUGUGCCGGCGAUGGCUCAUUCAAAUUUCUUCCCUAUCAACUUUCGAUGUUUGGGUAUUGGCCAAACAUGGUGGCAACGGGUAACGGAGGGUUAGGGCUCGACCCCGGAGAAGGAGCCUGAGAAACGGCUACUACAUCCAAGGAAGGCAGCAGGCGCGCAAAUUACCCAAUCCCGACACGGGGAGGUAGUGACAAUAAAUACUGAUACAGGGCUCUUUUGGGUCUUGUAAUCGGAAUGAGUACAAUUUAAAUCCCUUAACGAGGAACAAUUGGAGGGCAAGUCUGGUGCCAGCAGCCGCGGUAAUUCCAGCUCCAAUAGCGUAUAUUAAAGUUGUUGUGGUUAAAAAGCUCGUAGUUGAACCUUGGGCCUGGCUGGCCGGUCCGCCUCACCGCGUGUACUGGUCCGGCCGGGCCUUUCCCUCUGCGGAACCCCAUGCCCUUCACUGGGCGUGGCGGGGAAACAGGACUUUUACUUUGAAAAAAUUAGAGUGCUCAAGGCAGGCCUAUGCUCGGAUACAUUAGCAUGGAAUAAUGAAAUAGGACGCUGCGGUUCUAUUUUGUUGGUUUCUAGGACCGCCGUAAUGAUUAAUAGGGACAGUCGGGGGCAUCAGUAUUCAAUUGUCAGAGGUGAAAUUCUUGGAUUUAUUGAAGACUAACUACUGCGAAAGCAUUUGCCAAGGAUGUUUUCAUUAAUCAGAACGAAAGUUAGGGGAUCGAAGACGAUCAGAUACCGUCGUAGUCUUAACCAUAAACUAUGCCGACUAGGGAUCGGACGAUGUUACAUUUUUUGACGCGUUCGGCACCUUACAGAAAUCAAGUGCUUGGGCUCCAGGGGGAGUAUGGUCGCAAGGCUGAAACUUAAAGGAAUUG
rnacentral:rRNA from 1 species